rnacentral:lncRNA from 1 species
AAAAUCUCAAUUGCAAACAUUAUGUUACCGUACUAAAUAUUUAAAUUGUACAAACAACCUGUCCAUUAAUCUGUAAUUUACGGAGACUUAAAUGUGAAAUACAAAUAAGUCAAGGAUUAUUCUGCAUACUGAAAUAAGUCAAAAAAUGUGAGAACAAAUAGGAGCGUCCAAUCCGUAAAUACGCAAAACAAUGAGGUCUGAAUACAAAACUGGGAAGAGAUAAGGUUUCCAAUCUCUUCCUUGGUGUUGUCUGUGGAUACGAAUCGAUAAUCGAUUGAUUCUAUCCAUCACAGUGUCGCGCAGAGGGGCAGCUUCAGGCGCGGGUGGGUGAGGGCGAGCGGAGCCGGCCACGGCCUCGCGCGGUAUAUGCGACCGGGGUCGGCCACUGCCCUGCGCUUCCACGGCCAGGCGUCGACACGGGCGAAGCGCAGCGAACGGCCGGGCGCGGGGCUUGGCGCGGCUCGGGCGAGGCUGACCACGGCUUGGCACGGGCGGGCGCGAUCGAGCGCAGCUCGACGAUGGCGCGACCGAGUGCACCCUGUUGAAGCCGUAGAUCAUGUUAAACGGCACUCCUUGCAUGUAGCUAUACGUAGCGCGAGCGCUACUCCUGGAUCUCAUGAUCCCCUCUCCCAACGGCCUGCGUGCCUAACAUAUGGGAGUUAGUUAGCCCAGCUGUUGUAUAUAACACUCACCUGAUGUAACAGUGUUCUUCAUCUAUAAUACAAUUCAGCUUGGUAUCACAGCCUCAGGUUCCCCAUGGCGGACCCCGAUGCCCCCGGCGCUCUCAACUCGGUGACCUCUCCCGGCACCGCCCCAUCCACGGCGCCCUCCGCCGCAUCAUCCUCUUCCGCCACCUCUGCUGCCUCCCCACCUCCCUUCGUCUUCGGUACUACCUCCUCUCCCCUUUUUCAGUCUCAACCUCUGGCGUCGCCGAUCGCCCCUCGCCACCCCAUCUUCUCCGAUCACAUCACCAACCACCUUAAAUUCCUUCUCAACCCUGCUGAUCACAACUCACCUGAUGUAACAGUGUUCUUCAUCUAUAAUACAAUUCAGCUGAUCAACUAGGCAUAGAUAGAUCCGGAGUUACCAUUGUACUCACCUAAUCCCGAGCCUGACGUGGGCACAGCGCGGCACAGGUGGCGGCCGGG